CAGGGUAGCCUAGUGGUUAGAGCGUUGGACUAGUAACCGAAAGGUUGCAAGUUCGAAUAAAAGUAAAAUUAAAAAAUAAGUCCUUGUAUGUCGAUUUAUCCCUGAUUGACCCACAUUCACUGAGUCCUGAACAUAACCUAAUACGGGUUCACUUUAACUGCUCUUAUUUUGGCACAAAAGUGAGAGGUCUAUCACUCCUGAGUCUGUCUGGUGUGUUGCGAGGUGAUCCUUUCCAGUCAGGUCCUAUCCUCUCCUGUCAGGUCCUCUCCUCUCCUGUCAGGUCCUCUCCUCUCCUGUCAGGUCCUCUCCUCUCCUGUCAGGUCCUCUCCUCUCCUGUCCUCUCCUCUCCUGUCAGGUCCUCUCCUCUCCUGUCAGGUCCUCUCCUCUCC
ensembl:lncRNA